rnacentral:ncRNA from 1 species
UGCGCCACAACGUAAGAAGGUGCCCGUCGGGGGAAGCCGGUGUGAAUCCGGCGCUGACCCGCAACCGUGAACGGCCGUACGCCGUGAGCCGGACUGCCCGCCGGACACCGCCAAC